rnacentral:lncRNA from 1 species
UUUAAAUAUAUUACAUAGCUAAGAACUUUCAAAGUUACUUGCACCAAGUUUAACUAAACAAUUCUGCAAAUAUGAGGAGCCGAAAAUCUACUUGAGGCACUGCAUUUUAAUACGCUGCAUACAUUGUGCAAAGAUAUCUGCUUUGUACACUGCAUUCCAAUACUCGCCAUACUAAGUUUAUUGUCAAUGAAUACCCAAACAAACAGUGCGUCAGUAUUUUGACAUGAAGAAUUAUCUAGUCUAUUAAAUAUGUUCACGAAGCAAUGGCAAUUGUUUCAGCAAAUCAUAAUAUAUAGUUAAAAUAUGCUGCUUAUCGUGCCGAUUUUAUUGAGUGUGUAGGCGUAGGUAAUAUCUUUGGUAAGCUUGCUAGUUAGUUGAGCCGUGAAGUCAUUGUUAGGUUAGGUAAACUAUCCUACUUUGAGAGUAGACUAGUCCGACAAAUAACUUAUCUAUCUGUCUGUUGGACUAGGCUACUACGAAAGGAGGGUAUUAUACC